UUUUUUUGACAUCCAACUUCUGAUAAAUAGAAUCAAGUUAUUGAUUCCACUUGCCGUCCUAUAUACCAACCCCAUCAACACAUGUGUGGCGGAAAUGCACCAAAAAGGAGGAAAUUGCAUCCACUCAAUAAGAAAGGUCACAGAAAGCACCAGGGAGGUCUGCUCCUCCUGAUUUUCUUGACUGCCAGCACAAAGUGAAGUAAUAAUCUUUUAGCUUCAGCUUCCCAUCUGUAGAAAAUGCCUAUUUUCUUGCUUAUGUAGAAGGCUUGGGAGAAUAAUGUUUUUAGAAGCAGUUGCACACUACAGCAAAAGUAGCCAUAAUGAAGAGGCAGCCUCCCCUGGCAAAAUCUUCAGGGGAGUCUGGAGUUGACAUUUGGCUGUAUCCUACAUGCAUUACAUGGACAUAUAUAAAAUACUUGGCAUAUGUAGCACUUACAAGAAAUAGCAGACUUUAAAAAUAGUCAAAUAACUGAUAAAAGACCAUAUAUGUGUCCUUAGAUAAACAUACAAAUUUCUGUUAAAUAGUUUAAAAAUCCCUACCUUCUUAAAAUUCUCCUUAGUAAAUCUCUGACUUUAUUCUGUCACUUCUAAAUAUCUGAAGUCUUUUUUGAGGAGCAGUCUGAAUCCCAGUCUGUCCCAAGAGACUAGCACACCCAUGUUCAGUCAGCUCUAGCAGGGCUCUGACUCCAUGGGAACAAUAACAACAUGAUAGCCUUGUCAUCUGAAAUAUCCAUUUAGCAUCUUAUUUUUUCAAAUAUUUUAUGUUUGUUCUUCAUUGCUGUUUUUGUUAACCUAAUUCUUGUAAAAUCUGAAGCAAAAAAUAUGUAGUUAAGUUUCACAGUGCUCAAGGAUUAUAUGACUGAUGGAACUGUGAUAUGUUAGAAAAUAUCUUGUAGCCCCCAAAAAGAAAAACAAAUACCAAUCACAGAACCUAUGAAAACAUUCUAACUGUUCUUUCAUUGAAUGUUUAGCUGUUAUAAAAGUCAGUUUGUCAGAGUUACAGAUAACAAUACAGCACACUAAAAGUUCAAUGAACGUGUACCUAUACAAAGUGUAUUCCAUCAAGCAGUACAGUCAUUCAUGUAGAUAGCUUUAGUCUGUUUAUUACUAACCUGAUUGGAUAAUCAAGAUACUUAUAAUGGAUUUAAUUUGGUAAUAAUAAAGUAUUGCUUAUGCUAAUGGUACUAUCCAGAUUAAUAGGUUUUUAAACAGUUGGUGCUGUUUUAUUGUAUCUUCCUGAGUAACAAGCUCAUGUAUAUAUGCAUUGUACAUUGAAUGAUGUAGCCCGAUAACUCCAGCAAUACCGUUACAGUGUUAUCAAUAUGGGACAUCUGAAAGGUUUUUUUCUUAUCAAUUUAAGGUAAAGUUGAAGUUUAUGAAGGAGAUGUGUUCUCAAUGUUCAAUGUGUGUAAUAGAAGAUAAAUAGCUGACAGAACACUAGGAAUGUGGUAGUGUUUGAGUGCCUCACCACUCCUCACUCAAACCAUCUGUCAGGCACUUCAGGGAAAAAAAAAAAUACAUAACUUUUAGAAAUGUUUGUUCUGAAAAUGCAAAUGAAUAUUUUUUUAUUUAUUUCCAGUCACGUAGAUGGAUCUGUUUCUUACAACAAGUCUGCACAGAGAUAUGGUGCGUAUUUAACUACUUCAGAAAAAGGUUAUGUAGGCCCAGGUGGCCCAUGCAAGAUGACUUUGAAAUCUCUGUUUGCUAAAGGAGAAGGAGUGUAGUGGAUGAGGACACAUGAAGUGCAGUUUGACAUCUUCAGCUUGUGUUCAGCUUAGGUGCAGAUGCUGAAAAAACCAGUUUUGCCCUCGCCUGUCCGGCUCACGUCCUCCAGCCCCCAUUGCAAGUGCGUUGCUGCAGCCACUGACAGUGCAGCUCGCACAAGUACUAAUGCCAGCAGAGAAGAGGUGGUGGAACAAUGGAGCUAGGGGCAUUGGGAAGGGGAAGCUCAUCCCUCUCAGUGAUACCAGGGGUUUGUAUCACUUUAAGCAGCUUGUGAAACUUAAUUUCAGAGCCCCAGAUCAUCAGGCUGCUCAAAUAUAUGCCUAACUUGAAGCACACAGACUAUCAGUAAGAAAAUAUUGAAGCAUAUGUUUCAACUUAAAACACAUUAUUAAGUGCUUCCCGAAUUGACAUUAUUUCCUUCUCAGUAUUUCUUCCCAUCCAUUUUUUUUUCACUCCCUGCCAAUAUGCACUCUGUUUCCCUCUUUGCAUCUUGCCAAUGAUCCCUUGACUUUCUGAUUGUGUAUCUUUUCAUUAUUUUAGGCUACUUCUCUCUGAAUGUGCAACACAAGGCCAGGGCAUGGUUUUAGCCCUCUGAAUGCUAUCAUGGAUGUUGUUCAGCAGUGAACAUGCUUCCUGGCAGGGUUUUGGCUUGUGCCAAAUGGCAGUGUGCCAGAAACACCUGAGCACAGCCCAGGGAAUAGCAAGGGCUUGGCGCUGUUCCUGACAGGUAUUGUGUGUGAUGCCAUUCUGUUUUGGGAAGGCAUUAAAGAUGCAAGUCCUCAGGGACAGAGAAUAGGUUCUAGCCUGGUUCAUUGACUAGCACAGCUAUAGCUUAGCUGUCUUCUGUGUUGUAUGGGUCUGGUUGCAAAGUAAUUAAAAUCAAAUUAGAAAAAUCCAAAUAUCUUUAAAUGAAUUUUGAUUUGGAUUUCCAUACCAGCCUGUUCUGGCAUCAGAAGUUAUGGUAUGGAGGAAAAAUUUACUUCUGCACCAUUUCGGACUGCUGCACCAUCUCAUGUGGCCUUAAAGAGGCAGAUAAGGCAAAUUAAAAGCUUGUAAGUACUGCACUGUAAGUCAGCUAGUCAGUCCAACACAUUGUAAUUAAAGAUGGCAAACUGUAGGCAAGUUUAGGUCACCAGCUACCCGAUUUGCUGGCCCAGCUAUUUGUUUAAUCAGAAGAAGGUUUCAUUCUUGAUUGCACUAACAGGACUUCACUGAAGCCAAACUUGAAACUUUCUGUUUUCUCAGGACUUAGAUGUUUGUUAUGCUUUCCUCAAAUGUUUUUCCUCAGUUGUGGUAGCUUCAAUGGCACAGGGAGUGCAGGCAAUAACUGGUUAUAUUAAACCAAAUCAGUAAUGCCUAUGGACUCUGAAGUCCUGUUGGGAUGAUACUGGAGGACUAACAAAUCUGUCAGGCUGGUUUACUGUCAACAAAGCCACCUAUUUCAAAUUGUGUAUUAUCUCCUCUAAUAGACUAUUCUACUCUUAUUUCCUUGAAUUUGUCUGAAGCUGUAUCUGACCUCAUGGAUUCAGUGAUUUCCACACCCUGUCACCGCCAAAGUCUCCCACUUUCUUACUGUAUCCAACUGCAAGAAUAUUUUUUACAUUUUAUUCUUUUAACCAAAAUCCGUGUUAAUUUACACUUCAGGAACAUCUGUUGCCUACAGUCAGGAACUGUCUUUAUCCGGUUUUAUUGCUCUGAAACCAAAGAUGCAAUUUCGAUUUUUUUGAAAGAAAAGCAUUUGCCUAAACUGUUUAACAGACCUCUACAUCUACCUAGGGCAGAGAAAACAAGACAAAAAGAUGGCCUUUAAUUAAUUGUAUGGCUGUGAGUGAGGCUUCCAUGCCCAUUGCUCAUAACACACAGGCUUAACUGCUGCAAACUUUUCUGUAAUUUCAGAAAAUUCUGAAUUUGUUUUGGAAAUUGUUGAAAUAUAAUUAAAGUUUAAAUGAAGAUGCCACAGACUUCAAUUUGUUCUUUUAGUAAUUUCUACAGACCAGAGACCUUGAGCCAGGAAUACGAUGGCCACGCUGUAAGCCCAGGAAUGAAUCCCUACUUACACAUGUUGGUAUCUACCAACUGACUGUCCCCAGCUGAACAGGCAUCUUACUAGUUCCUUAACAAAACAUUGUUAUUACAUCAGUAAUUACAAUUUUUAGCUUUAGAGUAAAAAAUGCAUUUUAAAGCAUCUGUCAACGUCUUAUUGACUGACUUUUUUUUUUUUCCCCCAUUUCCAGUGAUUCCUCAUAUUUAUACUGAGACCACAACUAAAAUUGUUAAUGAACAUCAUCUGAUUAAUGCAACCUGUUUUGAUUCGGUAGCAGCCACCCACAUGAAAAAUCCAAUAAUUCUCAAAAAAGAUGUGUAAGAAACUUCACUGUCUAUGAGAAAGGAUGGAGGGCAUAGGACUGUGAAGUCUAAGACACUUAAGCAUUUGUUUAACUUCAAGCCCAAGAGAACAUAACUGAAAUCACUAAGUUCAUUCCUGCAGUUAACCAUGAAUGGUGUAUGGAUUCUGAAAUGCAAAACACAUGCUGAACACCUAACUGGGCUGACAAUGGCUCAAAAAUAUUAGGAUUUUUAAAAAAUCAGUUAAUACAAAGUUUGCUAUCUGGGUUUUUCACAUUUAUAAACUUGUAGUAUUUGGAAAAUAGAGUUUAUAUUGAUCUUUUAACUAUUAGAAUUGGUUAUAUCAUGACAAAUCAGUAUCCUGCUGGAGAUCUUCAAAUGCAUUUCUGUCUUCAAAGAAGAAAAUAUUACAUGCUCUGCAAUGUUUCUUUCGUUAUGAAAAAGAAAAACAGUUGAAGGAUGAACUGAAAUUUUCAUUGAAUGCUUUCUCCAUAUAAUCUUCUAAACUGAAAAUCAUUAAAAACCCCGAAGUGGUCACAUGUUUGCAGAAAGAGAGGCUAAUUGUGACUGAAAAAAUCCCCCAUAAAGUGGUAGGAAGGUAAGAGCUGCCACUACUGCAGCCAGAUUAAAGCUCUAAUUUAUUGUCCUCAAAGUGUGGCCAGUUACAUGGCCUAGAGAAAGAAUUUCCUCUUUUCGUCUCCUGUAUCUUUUCUGUGAUACGUCCUCUUCCGUCUGCCAGCAAGUGUUUUAGGGACUGAACCCCAGGGCAUCUGUGUGCAUAUGGCCAUCCCUUCAGUAGCUGAUAAUGGACCAUCUCACAGCUAACAAGGCAAAUCUUGUUUUGAAGACAUUGGUGCUGUAGUACCCCACUGUAUUCUUCUGCCCCAGGUCCAUGCAUUAACCAUAUGCUGUGUCAAUAAGUGGGUCUUCUUGCUUGUUUUAAAUCUGCCAUCUACUAGUUUUCUUGGAGGGAGGGAAGAAGGGAAUGUACCCUGUGUGUUGUUAGAUUUUGAGAACAUCAGUGAGUGUUCACUUCUGGAUCACCCUCUCCUCAUGAUUAAUAAUUUAAUAUAAACUACCAAUGAGAUGGCCACCAUUCAUAAUCCACAAACACCUUUGUGUGACUGAGCACCAGCGGCUGGCCUGUGUGCCUUGGGGGUUGAGGGACAGGGAGCCGGAGGAGCGAGAACUGGCUCCCAAAGGGCUUCCACUGUGGCAGCCAGCGCUGGCUCCCACCCUGCCUGCCUGGGGAUUUGACCUGUGGAGCGGUCCCACUUGGAGUACAGUGCGCAGAAAAUGACCAAAAGUACAAUGCACCCUAGAUUUCUACAGCUCUAUAGCUUUUUUAUCCCUUUCAUUUCUGAAUAACUCCCAAUAACUGCUCUGUCUUCUUGGCCAUUGCUGAACACUGGGCUGAUGGUUUUGCAGAACUGCCAACAAUGACUUCCAGACCUUUUUUUGUUUCUUUGCUCAGUCAUAGCCAAUAUAGACCCUGUGACUGUGAUAGUGAGUUUAGAGUUAGAUCUCUCCCUGGUUUGUGCUUUCUGACAAUGCAUUUUAUUUCCCUUCUGUCUCCUACAUAUGUGAAACCUGGAAUGGUACAGUUUCAGGUAUUAAAGAGAUUUUAAUGUACUGUAUGACAGAUUGGUUAAGACUGUGACAGAACUGGUAGAAACACUUUGAACUUUUAUUAUACAUAUUUUCAAACUGUAAAUACAUUAAGAUGAUCAUUCUAAAACAUAUUAUUUUAUUUCUUUACUUUCCAGAUUAAGUUUUGAUUAAAUUCUCUGUGAGAAUUUUUGAGAACAAUAUUUCUUGGGAACAAAUAAGUCCAAUAAAGAAGCGUGAUAACCUUUAAAGACAUAUUACCUAUUAAUUUCAGUGAAUUAGAAUUUUUGAUGUUUUAUCUACUCCAAUGUGCAAGGGCAGAAUUUAAAUCAGUGACUUGAAAGUGAAGGGCUCCGAUGAGCCUCAAAACUUAAACCUUUCCAGUUAUGCAGUUCUGCAGAUCUUGAAAAAAUGAGUCUUGUAAAAGUAUUUAUUUAUUAUCCACUAUUACAGCAGUUGAAACAGCAUUGACAUCUGCUUCAACUUUUUUUAUAGCAAAAAUGAUGUGUUACUAUGCAUGAAUAACUCUGUGGCAUGAGACACAGGUAAGCAAAGGACACUCUCAAGGUGUGUCAAACAAGCUAUGACAACAACUGUGUAAAGUUUCCUUUGAGCUUGUUCAACCGAAUAACUAACUGAAAAUUGCACUAUCAAAGGUAACUAUUAAUACUAUCUGGCAGUAAAGGCAGUUGUUCACUUGUUAAAAAAGCCUAACCAAUACCUAAACUGCAAAUACUGUGUGUCAGUAUUGCAAACACAUCCAUAUUGUACUGAUCGUCCCCAAAUUGAAUAUUUUCUUGCAGUUAUAGCGAUAAUUCUUCAUAUUUAUCCCACUUUUAGCAAAAGUGAUGAUGUAGGGGCAACACUUCCUUUCAGACAGAGGAUUUAUUUUUAUCUCAAAUUAUGCUACUUACUCAUUAAUUAUACAGAACUAACCUGACUUGCAUUUGCUCACGUCCAUCUUCGUGACCUUCCAACACCUGAGUUUACAAAUGUUCAUAAAACAAAGAUUCAUUCCUAAUUCAAAUCAGGUGUGUGAAUGCCUGGAAAGUUUUGGAAUGGGAAAGAAUUUAAGAAAGUCCAAGACCUCUAGAAAGUGUCUGAGGUCCUUCAGUAGGUGGCACACUUCCCUCUGAAUCAGUUGUGAGGGAAGGUAUUUGCAGGAUGCUCAGGGCACUGACCUGUGGGAAGAUUCCUGAGAUGGAAAAACCAGGAGGGCAGCCAAUGUGGUUUGGAAGGUUCCCAUGACACGUACCAGAAGAGUAGAGAAGACAGGGUAAUAUGGCCAAAUUUUAGGUAACUGUAACUUAGUUAAUGCCAUUUUUCUUACCUAAAGCGCCCUCUGCCAAUUUGGGAUGUCAAGAUAUUCUCCUUUACUCUGUUUUCGAGUUGUCUCUACUCACUGCUAAGAGUACUCUGCCCCUCUGUCUCUCUCCAGCCCAUACAUGAAAUUCUCUAUACUUGAAGCACUCAAGGUUUCUUUGAAUUGGAAGAUGACGCAAAAUUGUAAGUUGCCCAUUUCAGAAGAAUGCUAAACUAAAGGCUCCCAGGUCUAAUGGGAAUAUAAAUAAGUAAGCUUUUAGAAUAUUAAGUCACUUAAUUGUUUAGGUUAUAAAUAACUCAAAAGCCACUAAAUCACGCCCCGUCUUUGGCAGGCUGUCACUUCAGCUGUUCCUAGAAAAAGUGGGGCAAGGGUGGGUAGACAACCAAGUGCAGUAUACAAAGUACUUAGGAGCUAUUAUUUUUUAUUUAAAGAGAAAUAACCAGUGCCUGAUAACAUGGCCUGCUUGUUGGCAAGGCAAAAUAUUUUAGCAAAACGCCUAGGAAUCUUUCAAAAACUUAAUUAGAUUGUGGUAGUAAAAAGGAUUAACAAAGCGAAUCUGGCUAUACCACUUACAGGGUUCAUUUAUCUCAUGUUAGAAGUGCACGUAAUCACUUGACUGAAUUUCUGGUCAGCAUUGCUGGCUAAUUAGCUGUGAAAAAAUGGAAAUAAGUAAAAAUUAUCAAAUUUUGUUUAAAAAUCUUUUCCCAGAAUUCAUGUGCUUUAAAAAAUCGUUCCCAUGAAAGGGCAUAAUUUCAGAAAAUUCUACUUGUUUCAUUUUUUCCCCCUUUCCAAGGUCAAGUGAUGACAUGUUAUUAUCGAGCUGUUGAUACGCACAGUAUGUUAGUUCUGCAUCUGGAAAUACUUUAUGGGAAGAAAAAGAUCACUUACUCUUUUUCUUUUUUUUUUUUUUCUUGAGGGAAAGCUCAAUAUAGCAGAAAAAUAUUUUUCCUUCAGGAAAUAGAGCGAUUUGUUCAUUACCAAGCAAACAGUACUCCCCUUCCUUUGGGCCCUCUGCCAGAGUUAUUUACACACAGGCUUGUUCAAGCUAACCACCUUGGCUUCUUGCUCCUUCACACCAUUUGAUACUAUAUGAGCCUGAAGCUGUUGUGGAUAAAGAGGUGCUUCACAGUGACUUCUUUGUGUUCUGUGGAGGAGUCACGGACACACUCCCCUAUAAGGAAAGGUGACCCUUGUUUACUUAGGAAAGUAGACAAACAAGAUACAGCAGCCUGGAUUCAAGGAACCCAUAGAGAGAGGUGUUGGGAGGAGGAACUGGCAAUGUCUUUUUCUCUUUUCUGAUAAGACGGCUCUUGAGCAAAAUGAAAGCAAUGUGUACAAAUGAGAAAGUGGAAUGCUGUGGCUAGAAAUAUGUUUUAUGGUAUUGAAACUCAUAGCUGCUAGUUAUCUCUGAGAAGAGCUUGAGAUGAUCAGUAGAAGGUAGGUAUCUCUCAAAAUAAAAUCCCCUCAGUUAAUGAAAUUAAUACAGCUCUACAAGUGGAUUUUGUGAUGCCUUUGGCAUCCAAAGUAAAGCAGGAGACAAGUGCAGCCCUUUCAGGACUCUUGCCAAGUCUUCUGAGCUCCCUCAGUCUUCCUUCCCACCCUCCUUCCCACUCGCUGCAGGUGCCCCCUUGGGCUCUCCAGGAGUCCCUGAGGAGGGGCUGGUGGCACAGACCCUCACCAUUACCAGCUGUUCAUUGCCCCUGCAUCCAGCUCAGGGCCCUUCAUGCCAGGAGAACGAGCAGGUUCUCAAAGAGGAGGACAAAAGAGGGAGUGCACCUCCCUCCCAGCACUGGAAAACCAGCAGAUUUACUGGUAAGUGUAAGGAGGACCAAGUGUAACUAAGCAGUGGGGAGGGUGGAAGAGACAAGGACAGCAAGAGACAUUGCAGUCCAUGCAGUUGGAAAAAGGAGAGAAGGAAAGGGGAAGAAAGCUCCUACACAAAUAAGCAUGAUGCAUUUUAAAUAACAUUGACAGGAAACUAUUAGUAUUUGUUUAUUUAUGAGGAAAGCUGUUCCCAGUUUCCCAUAGGUUUCCUCAAUCAGACAUUAGGAAAGAGGAUGCUGAACAGUGAGAUAACACCACCAAUACUAAUUCAAGUUUGUGUUCUGCUUUCUGAGACCUUCAGGAAAUUGGAUACAUUUGGUCCAUUUUGCUUUACGCUGCUCAUACUGAAAUCCAUAGAUAGUAUCAAGCCUUGCAUAUAAAGGAAUUCUCUCUUCUCUGUAUCUGUAAAAACUUUGUGAAGAAAUAGGUAAGAGCUUGUGGGUAUAGGCUUAGGGACCAAGUAAUUUUUCCCAAAGUAAGAAAGGAAGAAUUGCUUUAAAAUUGCUAGCUAUUUUAGGAAUGGUUAUUUAAUGUUUCAACUCAACUGUACUAUUAUAGAAAAAUUAUGUAAUGCUUCCUAUUAUCUACUUUGAGAGCAGCACAGUUUACAAAACCGAUGGAUUCUGUAUAUUCUGAGGUCAAACUAAGUUUUCAGAAUAAUUUAUACUGUUUAAUAAACUGUGAACGUCAUUGCUGAAUAUUAUCAUUUUGUAUUCCACUUGCUACUAGCGGCAGCUGUGAUGGCCAAGGUUCUUUCCAAGCAGCAAGAAUUACUUAUUUUCUGAUAAAUCUACAAAAUCUCUACUUAAAUAACAAGUGCAAAUCUCACACCUGAAAGCUCCCUUAGUUCUCAGUGUAGUUAUAGUUUUAUUAAAUGCUGUAUUUAAAUAUAAAAAAAUAAAUCUAGAGGGAAAUGAUAGGAUGGUAUGAUGUAAUGAUGUAAGGACAUCAUUAUUAAGUUAUAUUGUUGUCACAAGCAGAUAAGAGAAAGUGAUUCAGAUGUCUGCUGCCUCUCUUUGGAGUUACUGGCAGGAGUUUGUGAAGAAAAUUGCCUGGGCAUCCCAGCUGUAGCCCCUUCAUGGGACAGCGCUCCUGCCUCCUGCUCCCCAUGGGAGGGGAAAAGAGCAUCAGUGGGGGGUGAAGGUGAGCCUGCACUCACUUAUACCCAUUCCCCUAUGAUGGUUCACAAAGGAGGAGUGGGCUGAAGGGACCAUGCAAAGAUCUCCCUUCCUCCUUGGCUGGGGGGGUAUCCCCCAAGCUAGGGACUCUUGCAGCUGCAAGUUAUGCAUUGCGUAAAACCUGCUCUGCAGCUUGAGCCAAGCAAACUAGGUAUGACAGUCGAGGCUUCUGAGCAUGUGUAGCCUCAUUCUCUUCCCUGGGACCACCAAGGUGCC